rnacentral:tRNA from 3 species
GCCUUUGUAGUAUAACUAUUAUACUGGUCUUGUAAACCAGAGAUGGGGACUCACAUCCCCCAAAGACA